rfam:Felis catus isolate Cinnamon breed Abyssinian chromosome E2, whole genome shotgun sequence.
GCCUGGGUGGCUCAGUUGGUGAAGCGUCUGACUUGGGCUCGGAUCGUGAUCUCAGGGUUCGUGGGUUCAAGCCCCGCGUCGGGCU